GCUGCGGACAAGCGGACUCAGGCAGAACCUUGGGGGAGUCCUAGGGACAAGGAUGGGGUUUGCGGAUAGUCUCCGUUCUCCCCUAAACGCAGUGCUUGCCUCUGCAAAAACACAAGAAGAAUAUGUAGAAUUCUUUCCAGUAUCCUUCAAUAUCUUUGCCUGCGACCAAAAAAGAUAAAAAGUGAGGGGGGCAGCAUUUUCAUUUUUCAUGUCUUUACCACUGACAGACUCUGCCAAGAUGAUAGUCGCUGCAGUAAGAUUGUCUUCGGUUCUACACAAGGUUUGCACGGACUACUGGCUGAUAGUCCAUACCACCCUUAAACAAAGAUUUUACACAGAACCUUCUUUCCUUUGAAGAUUUAGGCAGUAUUUGGUUCCACUCUAAGAAAUGCGUCUCUUCAGGUCUUUUGGUCACGGCCACGAAAAAGCUGAAUGAAACACCAUCAGGACCCUCAAGGAAAGCCUUCCUGAUCCCAGGCCCGGAGCCCGUGCACAGGGCCUGCCAUCGUGGGUUGAGAGUGACGGCUCCUGAGUUUGCACUGGCUUCCAUUUCAUUAGCAAACGCUUAAACAAAACGAAACACCUGGUUGGUAAUCACAGCAAUGACAUGAAAGACAAUCGGAUAAAACGUCCUGUUCCCUGUGGAGUCGAGAGUGUGUUUGAAAGGAGGUUUGGAGGAAGAACCUCUCUUUACCAGGCACUGGCCAGCAGUUGGAAUGGCAUCCAAGGCUCGCACACCCAUUUGACUUUUUUGAGGAUAAUGCAAAGCUCGGCGACACAGCUACAGAUGGCAUUAUUUUGUUUAGACUUCUAAAGGGCACUUCAUGUGUUAUGGGAGAUAAAAGCCAUUUUGAAAUGCAGUCUCUUUGGAUUGCUGAAAUCAAACAAAGUGCAUUGAAAAGUGGUUAAAAGAAAGACACAAAGAACCUUGAUUUUGUGGUCAGUGCAAGGUACUUUUUUUCCAUGGCAUUUGUUAAUUUUUUAUAUUCGCAUUGAUCAAAUAUCUAUCAUUUUGAUCCUUUUCUCCAUGGAGAUAAUGGUGUCAGCUCUCUCCAGGUGGAAUCCAGAAAGGAGCUCACUAGGAGAAGCAGGCAGAGGAGGUGGCUCAGCUCCUGAGCUCCCAGCUGCCCAGUUUUAUGUGUUGAUCACCAGAGGGAAGUACUGUCAUUGUUCAUAAGAGAAAGCUCUGUGUGCACAUGGGUGCUACUGUCUCUACCCCUUAUUGCUGUAAAUAGGAUGGAUGCCCGGUGGUGGGGUCUCCUCUGACGCUCAGAUACAGGCCUGCCACAGAGAGUGGCCAGCUGAGCAGACAGGAAUAUGACUCUCCACCCUCAUCUGAGAAGGUACCUGGGCAACCCUAUGACUCUGCAAUGAGAGGCAGGUUGCUGUGAUGACUCCAAAGCUCCUUCAGUCUGUCACCCUCAAAAUGUGCUGCAGUGACCUAGUGAAUCCCCCGGGAGAAACUGGAAUAAGUUGUGCUGUGGAUCAGGUUUUCCUAGGGACAGUGCCUUGGAAAGUAUGACUCACAGGUCAAGACUCAUAGGUCACACAGACCCGUGAUUGAUCUGGGGAUUGCUCACUGUGUCACUGACAGCUGAGCUGGGCAGGUAGGACAGAGUCCCCAUGGCCUGCAAAGCCUCAAGUCCCUGCUACUUGCUUGCUGAAGGUGCCCAUUAUUAUGAGUCUAGAAAAGAAUAGAAAUGGAAAUCAUUACAGAUGUAUAUAAUAUCGUGAUAGGUGCAAUGGCACUUAGAUGAAGGGUAGAUGUGAGAGAUGUAUGCAUAUAUGUAUGUACAUGAUUUAUCUAUGCAUUAUAAAGUUCAAAUGCAUAUAUAAUGCUGUGUAUUUUCUUUAAGCUAAAAAAUUUUAAAUGAGAAGUCACUCCCAUAAAACAAACAGAAACCCCAGACAUCUAAAAUUAUUUUUGCAAGGUUACAAAAAUAGGAUAAAUAAAUUUUCAA